rnacentral:rRNA from 1 species
ACUCCUACGGGAGGCAGCAGUGGGGAAUAUUGCACAAUGGGCGCAAGCCUGAUGCAGCAACGCCGCGUGAGCGAUGAAGGCCUUCGGGUCGUAAAGCUCUGUCCUCAAGGAAGAAUAAAUGACGGUACUUGAGGAGGAAGCCCGGGCCUAACUACGUGCCAGCAGCCGCGGUAAUACGUAGGGGGCAAGCGUUAUCCGGAAUCACUGGGGCGUAAAGGGGUGCGUAGGCGGUUUUCAAGUCAGAAGUGAAAGGCUAUGGCUCAACCAUAGUAAGCUUUUGAAACUGUUAAACUUGAAGUGCAGGAGAGGAAAGUGGAAUUCCUAGUGUAGAGGUGAAAUUCGUAGAUAUUAGGAGGAACACCAGUGGCGAAGGCGACUUUCUGGACUGUAACUGACGCUGAGGCACGAAAGCGUGGGGAGCGGAACAGGAUUAGAUACCCUGGUAGCACA